rnacentral:lncRNA from 1 species
ACAAAGUAAAAUUUAUAAAGUAAAAUUUUAAAAUAAUAGAAAACAAACUACUUUUGAUAUGCGAAUAAAUAUAAGGAACGUUUGAUUAGAUGUAAUUAUAAAUACAGUAUAGUUGAAAAUAUAUGUAGUUAGAAAUACAGAAGUUGCAAAUAUAUGUAUUUUAUAACUAUAAAGAAUUUGUUUGGUUGCAUACAAUUAAGAAAUAAUUUUUAUUUUUUUAUAUAUAUAAUAGUGAGAUUAUCUCUAAUAUAAAAAUAUAUUUUUUAUUUAAAAAAUAAUUAAGGAGAUUAAUUUAUCUUUUAUUUAAAAUUACUUUCUCCAACUGCUGCAGUUGAAAUUGCGAUCAAUUUGGGCGUAGUUUCAACUGCUGCAGUUGGACCUCCUCCUGUAUUUUCUACUGUUGCAGUUAAAGUUAAAUAUAUCAAACCAAACAUCGACUUUGUAUUUGUAUGCAUUUAUAAUUGCCGUGUAGUUACAACUACACGCAAUCAAACGGCCCUGAGUACUUUUCAUCAAUCAAACACAGCUUAUUAAGGCUUGUUUUGAAAUUCCAGAAAAAUUAUGUCUAUUAAUUUCUGUAAAUGAUAUUCUACGGUCCUAUCGAGGAUCGAACAAAUAUAUUUUUAUCUCAGCUCCACCCAAUCAAAUAUAUUAGGUGAUUUUUAAUA